CGAUUCCGGGGCGGGGAUUGGGGUUCCGCCCCCCCGCGAGCGGGCGCCCCAGCUGCCGAGCCUCCAGCACGAGCGCGCCGGCCCCCGGUCCCCUUUCCGGGUCCUCUUCCGGCGAUCGCGGCACCCUCUCCGGGGUAAUCGGUAGCGAGACUUUUGAGCUCUGGAACUUUCGCUCAACCCGAUUUCAGCGUGGCUGGAUCGGCCUCCCUAACCCCUUUCUUCAGUUUCUAGUUCGGGCGCUGCGACUUGGAGGAACCUGGGAGGGUUGAGGGUUCCCGAUGCUUUGCACUUUUGGCAGGAUUUCUGCAAUUCUCAGAGAGCCCCGACACUGAGAAGUCUGCGGGGUUUUCAGAGGCUGGGAGUGGAGCCUUAUCCCUAAGACCUUAUCAAAACCGUCUUGGCCCAAGACCAGGCCAGCCGGAGGACUGGUGCCCAGUGACCUUGGAGAGGCCGGCGCCUGCCGUGGGCGUAUCGGGGCCUCCACCCCAGGGACCGCAGUACGAGGCCUCCAGGAUCAUGUGGUACGUCAGUACUCGGGGGAUGGCCCCACGCGUUGACUUUGAAGGGGCCCUUUUCUCUGGCUAUGCUCCGGAUGGGGGCCUCUACAUGCCCGAGAAGCUGCCUCAGCUGGACAGAGACACCCUGCGUCAGUGGAGUGUGGCCUCCUACCCCAGCCUGGUGAAGGAGCUGUGUAGCCUCUUCAUUGGCCCCGAGCUCAUUCCAAGAGAUGACUUAAAUGAUCUGAUCGACCGAGCCUUCAGCAGAUUCCGACACAAAGAGGUGGUCCAUCUAUCCAGACUGAGGAAUGGGCUGAACGUGCUGGAGCUGUGGCAUGGGGUCACCUACGCGUUUAAGGACCUGUCCCUGUGCUGCACAGCACAGUUCCUGCAGUACUUCCUGGAGAAGAGGAAGAAACACAUCACCGUGGUUGUAGGAACUUCUGGGGACACAGGGAGUGCUGCUAUUGAGAGUGUUCAGGGGGCAGAGAACGUGGACAUCAUUGUUCUGCUGCCCAAAGGUCGCUGCACAAAGAUUCAGGAGCUCCAGAUGACGACAGUGCUGAGAGAGAAUGUCCACGUGUUUGGAGUGGAGGGGAACAGCGAUGAGCUGGACGAGCCCAUCAAGGCCGUGUUUGCCGACGUGGCCUUUGUCAAGGAGCACAGUCUGAUGAGUCUGAAUUCCAUCAACUGGUCCCGGGUCCUCGUGCAAAUGGCCCACCACUUCUUCGCUUAUUUCCGGUGUGCACCAACCUUAGACUUGCACCCACUGCCCCCCGUGGAGGUGGUUGUACCAUCGGGGGGUGCCGGUAGCCUCGCAGCUGGGUUCAUCGCUCAGAAGAUGGGCCUGCCCAUCCACCUGGUCGUGGCAGUGAACUCCAAUGACAUCAUCCACAGGACCGUCCAGCGGGGAGACUUCUCUCUGUCUGAGGCCGUCAAACCAACCUUGGCAUCAGCUAUGGACAUUCAGGUGCCAUACAACAUGGAGAGGAUCUUCUGGCUGCUCUCUGGCUCUGACAGCCAGGUGACGAGAGCCCUCAUGGAGCAGUUUGAAAGGACCCGAGGUGUGAGUCUACCCAAGGAAUUGCACAGCAAGCUUUCAGAGGCAGUAAUUUCUCAGUCAGUGUCAGACGAGGCCAUCACCCAGACCAUGGGCCGCUGCUGGGAAGAGAACCAGUACUUGCUGUGCCCUCACUCGGCCGUGGCUGUGAGCUACCAUUACCAGCAGGUGGACAGGAGGCAGCCCAGCCCUCCCCGCUGUUGUCUGGCUCCCGCCUCUGCAGCCAAGUUCCCGGAGGCCGUGCUGGCUGCCGGGCUGACCCCGGAGACUCCCGCGGAGAUCCUCGCCCUGGAGCACAAGGAGGCGCACUGUACCCCGAUGCGGAAGGGUGACGACUGGACGCGGAUGCUUCGGGACCUGAUUGAGGACCUGAGCCGGCAGCGGCGGGGGCGCUUCCGGAACGCGCCGGCAUAGCCAGGCUUCCUUUAGGCUUCGGACCCUGGGAGGUGUCCCCUCUGAGCUGCCUGGUGCACUUUCUCCCCAUGCAGGUGCAGGAGUUUCUCAGGGGGCUGCCCAUCUGGGUCUGGAGCCAGUGUGCUGUGCGCUGUUCCCUGGCUGCUCUGUGCUCUCACCGUGGCUGGCUGGCCGUGUUGGGCCUGGUCACCGGGGAGGCGGGGAGGGAGUCGUGGAUGAUUGCUGGGGGUGCACCCCCAGGGCCAGACAGUGCAGGAACAUCACUGCUUCCUGUGAAACUUUCAGGGCCUGCAAAUGAAAGGUCUGGGGCUCAGGGGCAACCUUGGCUCCAAGAUUUUGGACCCCCAGAUCCUAAAACCUGUGCAGGUGGGGCCCGCUGCCUCCAUUACCACAGGUCUGGCUCUGAGCCUUAGUUUAUCUGGUCCCCAGGUCAGAUCCAGACGUCUUGGCCACAGGGCUUCCACCCUGUCAAACGUUGGGAAUCCCUGGAAUAAAAGUGCAGGUUCAGUGCGAUGGUGACUCUGCGUGCCCUGUGGGCAGAGCCUGGUGCCUGUCAGGUGGUGAUGGUGGUACCAUGGUGUCCCUCAUCCAUCUGCUGCCCCAGGUUGCCAGCAGGGCAGGUGGCACAGGAGCUGGGGUUCAGGAUCACCAGAUCCAGGCCAUGUAGGAAAGCAGGAGCCUCAAACUAGGUCAAGUUGCCCUGUUGCUCAUGUACCAGGUUCACCAUCCUUAUUAAACCAAGUCAUGAUCAUAGCAGCGAGAAGCAAUGGUCCCUCUUUAAACACUAAAUAAAGUCCAAAUGCCUACAUUUCCACAGGUACCUCCAUAAUCACGCUGCUUCAGAGAAGUCAAGUUGUUCUUUCCACUGAAGACACGACUGACACUCUCCCUUCUCCACGCCUUUGACCCUACACUUGCCUCUGGGAGACUGUCCUUCUUUGAUGAACCCACAAGUCCCAUCUCACAGGCUAUUUGUCUUGGUUCCUGGUACUUGUUUACCGUGUCUUGUUGACUCGUCAUCGCAGCUGGAAAUAAGGACUCCUGUUUCCUAACUCUGGCAGAACUCCAGCUGUAGCUUCCUUAAGCUGUGUAUUCCCUUCUGCCCUGUUUUAUGGUUAUCCACUUGAGACAUUAUCUUCCUGUCUCUAAGCUCCUUGAAGAUAGGAACAAUUGUUUAAUGCAAGGGCUAAAACUUUUUGGAUUUGCCCCUAUUGAUUAAAAAUCUUUUAAUAUGUUCUCCCAACAUAUGUGUACUAAAUUAUGUAUAAACUACACAAACCGUGAGCUAAAAUAGACGUGAAGGAAUAAUAACAACACCUAUAUUUAUCUUUUCUCCCCAUUCUCCAGUGGAUCGCCUGUGGGCCUGUCUUUGGCAGUCCUGGUUGAACACAGUGCCUGGUACAUUCCAGAACCAGCAGGAACCAGGGGCGUAGCUCCCCUGUGAUUGCACAUCUGCCAGAUACUGUGCGAUGACUCUCAAAGUGUGGUCCCUGGGUUUAUCCAAAAUACACUGUCCUGGCCCCUACCCCAGACCUUCAAAGGCAAAUCUGUGGGCGUGCGUGCGCCAUCUUCAGUCCUUACAAAUGCCCCAAGGACGUUUAAAGUCAUAUAUGUGGUUCGCCUUUGUCUCACGUUGUAUUUCUACGGACAGCAGUGAUCUAGGCUUUGGGUACACAUGAACACACGGCAGAUAGUUGUGGAUUUAGUUAUACUACUGGGUUCAAAUCUCAUGUAGAUUGAGGGAGGGGGUUAGACAAACGCAAACAUGUGUACGUCAACACAAGCCUGAGGCUCUGGUCUCUGGGGGCCCCUCUGGAAGGCAGUUAAGGCAGGCACAGCGUGGAGGUAUUUUUGGCCACUAGAGGGCGCUGUUACUACCACUCUGAGGUGUGAAAGGAGCCAGUGGGCAUCUGGCCUCCAACGCUGCCUUUCCCGGCCCCCGAAGUCUAAAGGAGCUUCUGGGCCACCCAGCUUGAUCUCUGCCUGCUACCUCCACAUCGGAACCACUAGCCCCGCAUCUACUUGAUGCCCAGGGGCUGAAAGGAGAGGCCGGAGGGCAUCCUCUUACUGGAAAACUUGACAUCGAAGCAUGGCAUUCAGUACCUAGACGGCAGGAAUGCUGGACGCACAGGAGGAUGGGCGAGCAUUCCUAAGGGAAUGACCGUGACCCUUACAGCCGUCAGCACCUGACAGUUUCCGAGACACUUUAACAUCCACAAGAGCAUACCUGAUGGAGCCCCCAGGACCCAUUUAUCUAUUAGGCAAGACCAGGCUGAUACUUCGGGGUCAUGAGAUACUUAGAGGCCCGUGAAAAUAUUUUUAUUUCUAUCAAAAGAAACAAUGAAUAUAAUCCGGCUUGGAUUAUAUUCAUCUUUAUACCAACAGUUUAGUAAAAAAAGAACUUUAAAUAUUUUUUGUAGAAGAACCCCUUGAAAGCAAAAGUGCCUGGAGCCCACGAACGUCAUAAUGCGGCACUCAGAGGACCCGCUCUCUACGCCAGGUAAUACUUCACCAGAAUCAACUAAUUUAAUGGUGACAAGCAAGCUGUGAAAUACGUGUUACUACCAUCUAUGUUUUAGAGAUGAGGUAACCUGUCAGGGUGGUACUGCAAGGGAGCAGAGGGGCUGGGACUUGAACCCAGGCAUGUGGCUUCAAGUCUGACGUGUACUUUCAUCUUAUCAUGUUGCAUGGAGCUGGUCCAUUCUGCUGUGGCCCGCCACUCUCCAUCCUGCCCCAGGCCGUGACCCUUCCGCGGGGUCCUCUUCCACCCUCCCUUUCACGGGUGGAUUUGGGAGCGUGGCUAUGAUGCUCCAGGAGGUCCACCAGGGGCUGCUGCAAACCUGCUUCCCAGGUCUCUGCACGGGCCCUGGCACCCACCUGCUGCAUGCGGCCAGAGCCAGUGGUUCCUUAUUCUUUGCUGCCGCAUUUCUGAGGGUCUCAGGGCAGUGCUGGGAGUUACAGGGGGUCACAAAACCCUUCACCUUCUGGAGGCUUCGGAGUGAUAUCCAACUCUGAGAGCCCACUGCACCUGUGAGAGGAGACCCAGAAUAAAGCCAUUGGACACAGCACAAACAGACAUGAAACAUGAACUACAAGAUAUUCUGGGCACAGGGAAUCUUAGGGCUGAAUGGAGGAGAGGACAGGAAUGAGAUGAAGUCUGAAGAAACAUCCACCCCUGUGAACAUAUACACAGGCACACAAACACAGACAGACACACACACACACAUAGAAAUACAUACCUACAUACACACUCAUCCCCCUCAAUGGAAAAAGCAAGGAUCCUGGUACCAAUUGAAAUUAGAAUCAGGUUGAAGUUGUCCUUCUGAGUCGUCCGCUAACUGGCGGUGUGACCACACACAAGCCAUUUCAUCUCUGUGAGCCUCAGUUUCCUCAUCUGCUCAUUGUAACACUUACCUCGCUAGUUUAUUUUGAGGAUUGAGAUCAUGUAUUUCCAAUUCCUAGGUAAAUGCUAAAAUGCCAUACAAGUGCUUCUUACUAACAUAAUUUAGUCUGCAGUGAACAGUUUAGUACUUUUAAGCUAUCUUGCAUUUUUUACUAAUUGCUUCCCGGAUUCGUCUUCUCUUGCCUCUUCCUGAAGGAUGAAGUUCCUUCGUGGCCCUGCGGUGCUGGGACAGCUCUGGGUGCAGGGUUGGAGUUGCCCUGGCCUGCUCAGUGCACCCAGCGACAAGCCCUGUGGGGGUCAUUUGGGGGUUGAAUGUCAUGGAUUAGUCAGUAGGGGCUCUGCUGGGCAGUUAACAAGCCUCAUUAAUUUGCAGUGAUGAGGAUGGUGGGAUGAUUCCCUUUCCUGAGCACUCAUGAUGGGCUGAGCCCUUUGUGAAGCACGUUCCAGACAUUGGCUCCUUCAGUCCUCACAAGGACUGUAUGAGAAAGUACCAUUAGGGGCUCCAUUCUAGAGAUGAGGAAAUGAAGCUCAGAGAGGUUAAGUAAUUUGCCCAAGGCCACCCAGCCAGUGAGUCCUGGAGGAAGGAUGUGAGGCUGAGUUAACCUCAGAGCUAGACUAGGAGAGGAACUUUGGGCCCGAUGGCUUCCAAGUUUUCUUCAAUCAGAGUCUGCGAGCUCGAUGGGGAGUGGGCUGCGUCUGAGGGUGGAGGAGAAGAGAAGAGGACCCAUCACUAGGAGACGGGCCAUCUGGGGAGAGGGGCACAGAGCCAGUGCCUUUGCAGGGAGCUCUCCUCUGGCUCAGGCUCCCUCUUGGAGCUGGGUUCCUCUCGGGGAUGCUGGAAGCUGGGUUCCUCGCCGGGAUGCUGGUGUCUGCUGAGUGGAUUGGGUAUGGUUAUGGGACAAGAGGGAGGUGAGAGUAAUUCUGUGGGAUUGUCAGCUGCUGGCAGGGAGGCCCAGCCUGGUGGUUCCCACUGGAAAGACUCAAACUUAGAUGGAUGAAGUCGGGGAGCCUUUGUUGAGUUUUCUGUGUCCCCAAAUAAAUAACGGGUGAGCAACACAGGAAGGGCUGGGCUAUUAGCCUCCUGGAAAGAGGAGAGGGCCAACUUCUCUGUCCUGCUCACUGCCUCUGUCCAAAAAAGCAUCUCCCCAGAACUCCCUUUCAGGCCCAACCCAUCAGUUUAUCCAUUCCACAACCUGGGCAUCUCCCAGGUGCCAGCUGGGCAAAUGCUGAAGGCCACUGUGCUGACUGCCUACCAAGUGCUGGGGAGAGAGAAAAAGUAGGAAAAGAUGGGGCUGGAGUUGACUUAUGCAGAAGGAUAAAAGUUUGUGGCAGCACCCAGGGGCUGUCCCAAGGCUGUGAGGGACUGGUUACUGGUUCUCCAGGGCAGGAGCCCAGGCAGUCCCCCUGCGGCCCCCUCCCGCACUGACCCUCAGUGUUGCAGUGAUUGGUUUAGAGCCUGCUCCCCCGCUACUUAAACAGUCUUUAAAGGCUGCUGUCAAAUACCCCAUAAGCCAGGACCUGGCGUCCACACCUAGCCUUCACUGAGUAUGGAACAGAACAGGCGGGAGGAACUGCAGGGCCCAGAGGAGGAAAGGUGACUGGGCAGGAGAGGGUGGGGCUGGAGUGAAGAAGGCUGGGCUGGGUCUCCAAGGGUCUGCUAGGUACCAAGGGGAUGCUCCUCGGUUCAGGACUGUUCCCUUCUCCUCUUCAAUGGUUUAGCCAUCACAAGGAUCUAUUAUAAGAAGGCAAGGGACCUCCUGUUGCAGCAGAAGUGUCUGUGCACUUGCUCCUUGGGGAGGGGACCUUCUUUUCUCUGAAUGAAUGCGCAGGCCUUAAGUCACCAAGGCCAAGGUCCUGUAACAGGUGCAGAGCCAAGAACUGAGGCAGGGCUCUGCAUGGCUUAGGCCAGGGUGAAGCCCCUGGAGCCUCCCCUUGGUUAAGCUGCUAGGGGGACCUAUUGAAUGUCACCUCUCCAGCCUCCCCUUGGUCUCCUAAGUCGCUGGAAUCACUGGCUUCCACCAUCCCUGAUCCAGACCUCAUCCCCAAGCAGGGAUAGCGCUUGUUUAUAAAACGGAUGCAGUUUAGGUCUUGAGG